rnacentral:misc_RNA from 1 species
GAUGAAGAACGCAGCGAAAUGCGAUACGUAAUGUGAAUUGCAGAAUUUAGUGAAUCAUCGAGUCUUUGAACGCACAUUGCCCCCCCUGGUAUUCCGGGGGGCAUGCCUGUCCGAGCGUCAUUGCUGCCCUCAAGCACGGCUUGUGUGUUGGGCCUCCGUCCUCCUCCCGGGGGACGGGCCCGAAAGGCAGCGGCGGCACCGCGUCCGGUCCUCGAGCGUAUGGGGCUUCGUCACCCGCUCUUGUAGGCCCGGCCGGCGCUUGCCGACACAUCAAUCUUUUUUCCAGGUUGACCUCGGAUCAGGUAGGGAUACCCGCUGAACUUAAGCAUAUCAAUAAGCGGAGGA